rnacentral:rRNA from 1 species
CUACGGGGCGCACCAGUGAGGAAUUUUGCGCAAUGGGGGAAACCCUGACGCAGCAACGCCGCGUGAGUGAAGAAGGCCCUUGGGUCGUAAAGCUCUGUCAACAGGGAAGAAGUUAUGGAUUUUUAAUAGAGACUUGUAUUGACGGUACCUGUGAAGGAAGCACCGGCUAACUCCGUGCCAGCAGCCGCGGUAAUACGGGGGGGGCAAGCGUUAUUCGGAAUUAUUGGGCGUAAAGGGCGCGCAGGCGGCCUUGUCAGUCAGAUGUGAAAGCCCAGGGCUCAACCCGGGAUGUGCAUUUGAAACAGCAAGGCUUGAGUACGGUAGAGGAGAGGGGAAUUCCUGGUGUAGAGGUGAAAUUCGUAGAUAUCAGGAGGAACACCGGUGGCGAAGGCGCCUUUCUGGACCUGUACUGACGCUGAGGCGCGAAGGCGUGGGUAGCGAACAGGAUUAGAUACCCGCGUAGUC